UAAGAUGAGUAAUAAGGUG
rnacentral:miRNA from 1 species